AAGGGACAGAGAGGAGGAGGAGGGGGGGGGGAAAGAGAGAGGUAGAAGGGACAGAGAGGAGGAGGAGAGAGGGAAAGAGAGAGGUAGAAGGGACAGAGAGGAGGAGGAGAGAGGGAAAGAGAGAGGUAGAAGGGAUAUAGAAAGGAGAGACGGAGAGGAGUUAGGUCAGUUAGGAUCACCACUUUAUUUUAAAAAUGUGAAAUGUCAGAAUAAUAGUAGAGAGAAUGAUUUUUUUCAUCCUUUAUUUCUUUCAUCACAUUCCCAGUGGGUCAGAAGUUUACAUACACUCAAUUAGUAUUUGGUAGCAUUGCCUUUAAAUUGUUUAACUUGGGUCAAACAUUUCGA
ensembl:lncRNA